UGUGAUGCCCUUAGAUGUUCUGGGCUGCACGCGCGCUACACUUGAUGCACUCAACGAGUUUACGACCUUGCCCGAUAGGGUUGGGUAAUCUUUUUAAAAUGCAUCGUGAUGGGGAUAGAUUAUUGCAAUUAUUAAUCUUCAACGAGGAAUUCCUAGUAAGCACGAGUCAUCAGCUCGUGCUGAUUACGUCCCUGCCCUUUGUACACACCGCCCGUCGCUCCUACCGGAUUGAGUGUUCCGGUGAAUAAUUCGGACCGUGACAUCGUCCAGCUUCUGGAUUUUGUCGCGGGAAGUUUAGUGAACCUUAACACUUAGAGGAAGGAGAAG
rnacentral:rRNA from 1 species